UUUUACGUUUGUUAUAAAAUGUGGUAACGAUUUUGACUUCAGCUCAAAAUGCUUAGUAAAAUGAUACCUACCAAACAAUAUAUAUUUUGCUUACAAAGUGUAAAAGCUACGAAUAUUUUAACACGUUUUUAUUAGCUAGCUACUUGUCAUAAUCAUUUCGUGUUUGGACUCAUUUUUCAUUGAAUUAAACAACAAAUUUAUUAACACUAACCAUUUUACUGUAUAUCUAAAAUCAAAUGAAUUGCAAUUUUGAGGUAUCAUACAACAGAUCUUAUAUUUCUACUUAGUGAAUAGGGGAUCGGGGCUUUCAGGCAAUUAGGACGGUGGUGAGUGUGCGUGCGUGAGUCGGGUCCCUCACAGGUAGGGCUGAGCUCCAGCCGCACUCCGGUAAAAAUCAGACUAUACUUUGUAUGGUCGCCAAGUAAUAAGUAAGAAAGUAUUAAAGAAAUAUAUUCAUUGGAAUGAGUGUAGGACGUAAAAUUAUGUGCUGUCAAAUAUUCUAGAGCUGUUUGUAUUUGGUGUAAGACUAGACUUGGAUUAUAUAAUUCAUUGCUGAUGACAUCAAUGUUAAUUUUAUAGAUGAUCCUGGAGCAAAGGCUGUAAUUUGACCUGAACCCAAAUUGGUCUCUAUUUUAAAUAUUGUCUUGAACCAAUAAGUUAAGAGGACUAACCUUUCUGGACGACAUUGCCAUCGACAUCACUGCAGAUGAGAGAGAAAGAGAGACCAGAGUUGUGGACCCUGGAGGCAAUUACCAUACUGCCGUGAUAAUGUUACUUGGUCUAACCAUAACUUAAGUGAGAACUGAAGCCUACCAGUAAAAUGGGGGCGUUGUAAUUAAUAUCCUCCGACAUUGGAGAAUACAGGGGAGAGGUGCCAGAGGAAGAGGAGAUCGAGGAUGGGGCGAAGUAAAGACUAAGAUUGAAGAGAACUAACUAAUGGCCUGAUGACAGGGUGGAUGGCGAUGGAGGCAUGGAGGUUGGGGAAGAGGAGGCUGAAGAAGUGGAGACAAAUCAGUUUGGAUCCAUUAUGUUGAUUAGUUUAACAUUUAUUUUGAACAUCAGUAUUUACAUUUUUUUCUCAUUUAGAUUAUUAAAUUAAGAUAAUUUUAUUGUU